CACGUAGGGUGCGAGCGUUGCCCGGAUUUAUUGGGCGUAAAGGGCGCGUAGGCGGUCACGCACGUCCGUUGUGAAAUCGCUCGGCUCAACUGGGCGGGGGUCAGCGGAUACGGCGUGGCUGGAGCAAGCUAGGGGGCAAUGGAAUUCCCGGUGUAGUGGUGGAAUGCGUAGAUAUCGGGAGGAACACCAGUGGCGAAGGCGGUUGCCUGGAGCUUUGCUGACGCUGAUGCGCGAAAGCGUGGGGAGCGAUCCGG
rnacentral:rRNA from 1 species